ACGAACGCUGGCGGCAGGCCUAACACAUGCAAGUCGCACGCCCCGCAAGGGGAGUGGCAGACGGGUGAGUAACACGUGGGAACCUUCCCUAUAGUACGGAAUAGCCCAGGGAAACUUGGAGUAAUACCGUAUACGCCCGAAAGGGGAAAGAAUUUCGCUAUAGGAUGGGCCCGCGUAGGAUUAGCUAGUUGGUGAGGUAAUGGCUCACCAAGGCGACGAUCCUUAGCUGGUUUGAGAGAACGACCAGCCACACUGGGACUGAGACACGGCCCAGACUCCUACGGGAGGCAGCAGUGGGGAAUAUUGGACAAUGGGCGCAAGCCUGAUCCAGCCAUGCCGCGUGAGUGAUGAAGGCCUUAGGGUUGUAAAGCUCUUUUGGCGGGGACGAUAAUGACGGUACCCGCAGAAUAAGUCCCGGCUAACUUCGUG
rnacentral:rRNA from 1 species